UUAUCCAGGUCAUUACGUUUGUCCUCCCUGUUGUGAAGGUUUGAAGUUCCCGGGUGGCAAGGAGCCCACCUGGUACAAGAUGUAUAGAGGGAGAGACCAGAGGGUUUAAUUUUUUUAAUAUAUAUUCUGUGUGUACUCAUGUUGUUGUGAUGACACCCUUGGGGGUGUCAAAAGGGGGAAUCUAAAAACCCCACUGAUGUUUUUUAUAUUCUGUAUGUAAUCAUGUUGUUGUGAUGACACCCUGGGGGGUGUCAAACGGGGGAAUCUAAAAACCCCGCUGAUGUUUUUUUUUUUAUAUAUUGUUUUGCAUAAAAAUUAUACAUUUUAUUAAAAUAAAUAAAUAAUAAUAAUAAAAAAAUUAAUAAUAAUAUCCUCCUGGUUGAAGGUUUCAAGUUCCUGGGUUCAACGGCAACCCAGUAUAUGGAUAUAUAAGUUGGUUACACCCCAUGAGGGUGUAAAAUGGGGGAAAUUGUUAGGAUUUAUGUUUAUGCACUAUAGCCGGGUAGCAUAUAGGUUGAAAAUGAAUGUUGGUUUGUUACACACACACACAAUACAGAGGGGGGGGGGGUGUGUGUGUAGGUGUGUAAGGACUGACCACCACAGGCCAUAAAAGCUGUGGACAGUCUGGAGAGGGGAGGGGUGCAUCACUCUGGGCCAACCAGGAUGGUGAAGAGACAGUUCAGUACCAUAUUAGGAAUUGUUUGAGUAAAGAAUCAUGGGGGACACAGGACGGAGGUGCUCUACCCAGCAGCCAGAUGUGGACAAAGGAACGYGCCAAGGGGCUUGGACAAAGGGCCAGCAAAGGGGGGCAAAGUCUAAACCAAGCCCAGCCUCUACUGUGAUAGGCCAACUGGACACGUUGAGAAUAAAAUUGUCAUAGUAUAAAAACUACUAUGUGAGUACAUUCCACAGUUCUCUGUUCAUCCUGCGCGGUGAUACAGCGAACCCGUAUAUACGAAAAUUGCAUUUACCAUUUAUCGUUUGAGUUUAAUUAAAAUACUUAAAAUAUAUUCGGUGACUAUGAAGCACAUUUUGUCCUGAUGCCAGAUUUGAACUGACGCAAAUCUCUUUCAAACUCAAAUACAGAAUGUAAACUCUGGUAUUUAGUAAGCUGUAAUUAUUUGAAUAGGGACCAGCAGGAGAGAGCAGACUCACCUGUUCCCAGCUGUGUGUCCAUGGAGAGUGACCAGUCAAUAAUAAUUCCAUUAAACUUCAGUGAGAGAGUCUUUCCUACUGAACAGAAGUGAGUGGCUCAGGUUGUAUUAAGGUAUUUUGGACAAGCUUUACUGUAUGACUUUGUGAAAGGAACUUUAGAAGUAUAGAUGCCCUCUUUAGUCUAAUCUAAUGAAUAAUAGGAUACAGAGUGUAAACAGGAAACUUUUGUGGUGUUUCUAUAUGGGGUUAUCUUUAAAACCAACUGCCCAUUCACUCAUGUUUACAGCAAACCAGGUGUUGGGGCUGUUGGCUGUUUCAGAAAUGUAAGCACUCUCAAAUUUGCAGAUGGAGCUAUGGAUGGAAGGACUGACAGAUCACGAGAUCAACAUGAUUGCUGUUAACAUAGUUUGAAGCUAUACGUUGUUUUAUUACAAAGACUCAAAUGACAACAAAAACAUAGUGUACCUUUUAAUGGUGUUCAUAGCUAAGGGUACUGUUGUGAGUAUAUAAAUGAUUGUGUUCACCUAUGUGAGUGCUAUAAAGAGGUGUGUAUAUAGUUACCUGUAGUGUCUGUAACCUUGUGUUUUGUCUGUACAUUCCAACAGGAGGGAUCAGAGUCUGAGACUAACAGUCAUCAAACAGACCUGGCAUCCAUAGCCAAGUUGUUUGAAGACAAGUCCCUCUCAUAUCUAAAGUCUCAUCUGAAGAAGUAUAGAAUAAUUGUGUGUCCAGAUUACCCAGGGUCAGUGGGAGGAUGAGGAAGUGAUGGAUGCUGAAGAUUAGGAGCAGGAGAGCAAUGCCAGCAAAGGGGCUCUGAAGCUCACAAUUCAUGUCCUGAAGAGUAUGAACCAGAAAGAACUUGCAGACACACUGGAAAAAAGUCCCUAUGGAGAGCUUGCUUUGUGCCAACAUAACCUAAAAUCUCAUCUGAAGAAGCGGUCUGAGUAUUUGUUUGAAGGAACCCAACAUUUCUCAAUAAGAUCUGUACCGAGCUCUACACAGAGGGUGGAAGUGGCAAGGUCAACAAUGAACAUGAGGUGAGACAGAUUGAGAUAGCAUGCAAGAGACCAGACACACAAGAUGGCAAUCGAAUGUAAUGACAUCUUGAAACCCUUACCUGGACAAGACAAGGAUAUCCGAACUAUGCUAACAAAGGGAAUCACUGGCAUUGGAAAAACAGUGUCUGUGCAGAAGUUUGUUCUUGCCUGGGUGGAAGAACAGGCAAACCAGGAUGUCCAGCUCAUUUUUUACUCCCUUUUCAGGAGCUGAAUUUGAUGGAGGAAAAGAGUUAGAUGGAACUUCAUCACUUUUUUAAUUGAGAUCACAAAUCUGGAAUCUCAGACCUCAAGAAGUACAAUGUUGUAUUUGUCCUUGAUGGUUUGGAUGAAUGCUGUCUUCCUCUAGAUUUUGAGAGCAAGACCUGGUGUGAUGUUACAAAGCCAACCUCAGUAGAUGGCUGUCUUACAAACCUCAUCCAGGGAAACCUGCUACCCUAUGCUCGCAUCUGGAUUACCUCCCGACCUGCACCAGCCAAUCGCAUUCCUUCAGAGUGUGUUGACCAGGUAACAGAGGUGCGAGGGUUCAAUGACUCACGGAAGGAUGAGUACUUCAUCAAGAGAAUGACUGAUCCAAACCAGGCCAGAAGAAUCCUUACACACAUGAAGUCAUCAAGAACCCUCUACAUCAUGUGCCACAUUCAAGUGUGCUGUUGGAUUUCAUCCUCUGUUCUGAAGAAUAUUUUAGUUGAAGCAGUGUGGGAGAUGCCCAAAGCGCUGACUCAAAUGUGCACAUACUUCCUGAUGUUUCAGACCACACAGAUGAAUCUGAAGUAUGCUAUAGAACAAGAGAUGGAACCACCAUUAAAUCAAAAGAUAAUUCUGGAAUUGGGGAAGCUAACCUUUCAACAGCUGGAACAGGGCAACCUGAUCUUCUAAGAGGAAGACCUGAGAGAGUAGGGCAUCGAUGUUGGAGAAGCGUCAGUGUACCUCAGAAUGUGUGCACAGAUCUUCAGAGAGGAGUGUGGGCUGUACCAGAGAAAGGUGUACUGCUUUGUGCCUCUGAGCAUCCAGGAGUUUCUGACUGGUCUGUAUGUCUUUCUCAUGUUCAACAACAACAAUGUAAAUCUGAUGGCAGAACAGGAAACCACACCCAAUGACCCUCUGACGUCCAAUGAAUUCUCUGCAACCAUCCUCCAUAAGAGUGCAGUAGAUAAGGCUCUGAAGAGUGAGAAUGGACACCUGGACCUCUUCCUCAGCUUCCUUCUCAGCCUCUCUCUGGAGUCCAAUCAGACUCUGUUAAGAGGUCUACCAACACAGACAAGAAGCAGCUCACAGAGCCAUAAGGAAACUGUAGAAUACAUCAAGGAGAAUCCCUCUCCAGAGAAGUGCAUCAGCCUGUUCCACUGUCUGAAUGAGCUGAAUGACCAUUCUCUAGUGGAGGAGAUCCAAAGGCACCUGGGAUCGGGAAUUUUCUCUAAGGCCAAACGUUCACCUGCAGAGUGGUCAGCUCUGGUCUUUGUGUUGCUGACCUCAGAAGAGAUGCUGGAUAUUUUCGACCUGAGAAAAUACUCUGGUUCAGAGGGCCUGCUGAGGCUGCUGCCAGUGGUCAAAGCCUCCAGAGUAGUGCUACUGAUGGGUUGCAACCUGACAGAAAAAAUGCUGUGAAGCACUGGCCUCUUCUCUCAGCUCCUCUCAACUGAGAAAGCUGAACCUGAAUGAUAAUGAUCUGCAGGAUUCAGGAGUGAAGCUGCUCUCUGCUGGACUGAGGAGUCCACGCUGUAAACUGGAAGUUCUUACUUUGUUAUUAUGUGGAAUCACAGAGGAAGGCUGUGCUUCCUUGACCUCGGCUCCGAGGUCAAACCCCUCACACCUGAGAGAGCUAAAUCUGGACUACAGUCACAUAGGAGACUCAGGAGUGAAGAUUAUCUCUGCUGCACUGGAGCAUCCAGACUGUAAUGUAAAACUCAGUGUGAACAAUAAUGCAGAGCACUGGUUCAAAUCUGUCCUGAAGAAAUGUAGAUGCCUAUGAGCUGACACUGGACCCAAACACAACCCACAUACGCCUCUCCGUCUGAGGGGAACAGAACGGAGACGGGAGACAGAGGAAAAACCGUAUCCUGAUCACCCAGACAGAUUUCAAUGCUGGCCACAGGUUUUGUGUUGACAGAGGAGCAACCAUAUCCAGAUUAGUGUUGCUGUUAUCUAAUACAUGUAUGAUAUAGGCUACUGCACAUUACGCACGACAGACAAACAUAAAAGCCCAUAGAUGUAGCUAGCUAUAUGCUCUCUU